UACGUAGGGUGCGAGCGUUGUCCGGAAUUACUGGGCGUAAAGAGCUCGUAGGUGGUUUGUCGCGUUGUUCGUGAAAACCGGGGGCUUAACCCUCGGCGUGCGGGCGAUACGGGCAGACUUGAGUACUGCAGGGGAGACUGGAAUUCCUGGUGUAGCGGUGGAAUGCGCAGAUAUCAGGAGGAACACCGAUGGCGAAGGCAGGUCUCUGGGCCAUAACUGACGCUGAGAAGCGAAAGCAUGGGGAGCGAACAGG
rnacentral:rRNA from 1 species